rnacentral:ncRNA from 1 species
UUUUCGUAACUGACGGAAUGUGGAGUACCACAGGGGAGCGGAGAGUUUGCCGAGGCAUCGGUGCCGACCGUCUGGGCACGC